UACGUAGGGUGCAAGCGUUGUCCGGAAUUAUUGGGCGUAAAGAGCUCGUAGGCGGUUUGUUGCGUCGGCUGUGAAAUCCCGAGGCUCAACCUCGGGUCUGCAGUCGAUACGAGCAAACUAGAGUGUUGCAGGGGAGACUGGAAUUCCUGGUGUAGUGGUGAAAUGCGUAGAUAUCCGGAGGAACACCAGUGGCGAAGGCGGCCGCCUGGACCUGACCUGACGCUGAGGCGCGAAGGCGUGGGGAGCGAACGGG
rnacentral:rRNA from 1 species